rnacentral:ncRNA from 1 species
GACGUAUGGUGCGGGUUGUAGUUGAUGAAGGUGAAGCCGCGCACCUGGUCGAUGAUGUGGAACAGCGGGUUCCAGUCGAAGAACUGCAGCAGCGAAUAGGACAGGGAGUUGGCGACGAACAUCUUGCCCGAGGCGAACAUGCUGGCGCGG